ensembl:snoRNA SNORA62 Small nucleolar RNA SNORA62/SNORA6 family
UCUGCACAGUGUUGGAGCUUGAUGCUGGGGCCACUGGCUGGCCAUUGAGCUCACAAGUGUUGGCAGUGUGCACUUGAGGGCUAAGCCCUUUGCUAACACCACAAGGGCCUCUGGCCCAGCGAGUGCAGUGUGAUAGUAAUUCUUGCUACAAGA